GAAGGAACGCACAAAUAAGGGCUCGACAUGGCAACGGUCGAUUCGUCAAGAAUAGUAAAUGAACGAACAGUUAUUUACAUCUUGUUUUUGCUUUUAAAGAGUGUUCUAUAUUCUAACUGAAACACCAGUGUAUAUAUUAUGCUAUUGGAUGUUUAUUCAAACCGUCAAGUCUUCAAAAUUUUAAGGGUUAUCGCAAGUGA
rnacentral:ribozyme from 1 species